UGGGGAAUAUUGCACAAUGGGCGAAAGCCUGAUGCAGCGACGCCGCGUGCGGGAUGAAGGCCUUCGGGUUGUAAACCGCUUUUAAUUGGGAGCAAGCGAGAGUGAGUGUACCUUUUGAAUAAGCACCGGCUAACUACGUGCCAGCAGCCGCGGUAAUACGUAGGGUGCAAGCGUUAUCCGGAAUUAUUGGGCGUAAAGAGCUCGUAGGCGGUUUGUCACGCCUGGUGUGAAAGUCCAUCGCUUAACGGUGGAUCUGCGCCGGGUACGGGCAGGCUAGAGUGCAGUAGGGGAGAUUGGAAUUCCCGGUGUAACGGUGGAAUGUGUAGAUAUCGGGAAGAACACCAAUGGCGAAGGCAGAUCUCUGGGCUGUUACUGACGCUGAGGAGCGAAAGCAUGGGGAGCGAACAGGAUUAGAUACCCUGGUAGUCCAUGCCGUAAACGGUGGAUGCUGGAUGUGGGACCCUUCCACGGGUUCC
rnacentral:rRNA from 1 species